AUGGAUCAUGCCAAGCUGAAAAGUGCUCUUUUGACCGUAUAAAAGGGAGAGAGCCAGCCUCCUUUUCACGUGUAAAUUUAACUAUUUACCCAUAGCACAGUCCCUCGACCAGCUAUUCCAUGUUAAUACAAGCACAUUUGAAGAACACUUCGACGUCUAUUGGCACACACAGAGAUGAUGGAAGUGAUACUCUUCUACUAAUACUCUUCUACCUAUAAAGAGAAUGCCAAUGGGUCUUGUUGAGCACUGUGCUACUUUCUUUAUUUCUUCCUCUGUAUCACAGGUAAAAGGACAUCUAGUUCGUAUAGGUGAAAUGUAUAUAAUCCCAUGCAGAUAAAGUGUCCUUGUUCACUCUUUUUGGAAGGAAGUUUGUGCGAUUAUUUUGUGGGCCAAUGUGGUCUGUGGUUCCCACGUCACAAGUACACGUACCACUUACCCCUCAGCAGUACCCCUCAGCAGGCACGAGUGAAUGUUCCUGGGGUGUCAGUGCGAACUCUUGAAAGGUCUAUUGCUGCAAGUGGUGGGUCAUUGGACUCUAAAGUACAGGUUUGCUGUCUUAGUGGAUUGUCACUUUAGGUUCAUUUGCUAGACUCUGUUGUAAGUUAAAAAAUUAUAUUAUAAAUUAUUGUUCACUUUGUACACAUAGGUUUGUCAUCUGCUGAGAAGUAUACAGAACGAAACUUCAAGAAAAGAGCCAAAGUAAAGUGAUGUUUCAAGCUGGUUGGAAAAUCGAAGAGACUGAAGUGAGGCAGCUAAUUGUUGAUUCUCAAACUCUCAUUGAUGUCUUCGAUUGUGAGAGUGCAGAUGUCAUUGUCACAAAUGUUUCAGGCAGACUCAGUAGUCUUAGACCAAGACUACGCUCUUUCUUACGUGACAUGUAUCGACAUGUAUCGACAGAAAAGGACUCCCGCAUCUCAUGUGUUUGUCCUCAUGAUCAGCUCUGAGCAACGAAGGGUAAAACCCUAUGCCAUCCCUAUUCAAUGUUUGCCAUACACCUCAAUGGAUCACACUACUAUGCGUUGAAUAGUAUGCAAUGCACUGCAGCUCAUGCUGGAUCGAGGGAUGAAGAUAGCCGGUUUCACAAGCAUUGGAGAAUACAACUCUUUCAGAAAUAAAGGAUACUCCCGACCAUUAUCACUGCUUCAAAUCAAGUCAGACGUGAAAGCAAAAGUAUCACGUUUAGGGAAAGAAACGAUGAUCAAUAUGCUAACACCCAAGAUUCAAAAUGGAGACGUAGUUGCCAUUUCUUCGGAGUUCCUUUCGAAAAUUGGCUUGAUGCUGUGGCAAAAUGUGUCAUGGACUGAUGUAAUUGAUUCUCUGAGGGCUCAAACCGUGCCAUCUGGUUACCCUUAUCCACACUGGUUUGUCACAGAAAGUUUUGAUGUACAUGCAUUUUUAUGUGCAUGUGUUAAUUGUGAUAGGACAGGAGGAGACAGAAGUUGAAAAGGCCAACUGGAGUUUAAACAUGUCGUCUGCAAGUAUGAUGAAAGUGGUGUGCCAUUUUCGUAGCCACUUACAUGUACCAGAGAAACAUCCUCUAACUGGUCAAAUGUUCUGUGAUCCAGGACAUGUACAAAAGAGAAUGGCCAAGUGUACAAGGGAGGGUCGCUACCAUUGCAUCAAUUGUGAGUACUUUAAGGAUGCUCUUGAUGAUGAAGGGUCAAACCUUACCUAACCUUACCUACUCUGCUCUCGUUGGUCUACGGAAGCAGUCUGCUGAAGAUGCUGAAAGAUUGCUCUCUGGAUCCAUGGCUUCCUUACGAGGCAAAAUACAUCAAUGUCAUCAAUGACUGGAGAAGAGCAUGAGCAUGGGAUGAAUGUGGCCUUUCCGAGAGUGAGCGCAGCUGCUUUAAUUGUGCUCUACUAUUACAUCCUCGAUGAGCUAAUUCCGUGGCACAAGGACAUCUGUGACUACCAGGGGCGUACACAGGGUGGUGCUUAGGGUGCUCCAGCACCCCCAUCCAGGCCGGCUCUGGUGCUCCAGCACCCUAUCCAGACUCAGAGAAGCUCAAGUAGAUAGUUCAACCAUCACUGGCUGGCUAGAAGGAAGCUACACUUACUGCAGCUAUCUACAGCUUAAUAGUGAUAGUUACAAUAACUUUAUACCAGUUAGAUCUAGCUAGCUAGCCUAAAAAACUUACUUUUCUUCGAUCGUUACUGGGAUAUCCAUGGGAACUAUAAAGAGUGGGGAGGGGCUCAAUAAUAAGGCUAGGCAGCAGGAAGUGGUUUGCUGUAUCAAACACUUGAGCUUGCCUCACAACAUGCAGCACAACAAGGUUCUUGGAUCCAGGUACGUACUGGUGGUCAUACUUUGUACGCUGCCUGUCACCUCCUGGUAAGCUGAUCAAUCUUUUAGUGGCCUGAAAAGAAAAGAAUCAAGACUGUCGUCAGAUCAAGCAAAGGAACAAACGUUUAUCAUCACUUAACUUC